AUUUAGAUAAAAAUAUUGAAUAUUUUAUUUAUUGAAUAUUUAUUUAUUGAAUACAUGCAUAUGAGAUGCGAUUGGGCCAGCAGCACCGCCUAUGCUUUGGUUGAUUGGAUAGUUUCUGACUCACAGCCAAUCAGCUUGCUUGCUUUGGAGUUCACGCAGCUUAACCUUUUCGCUAGUUCUGGAAACCUGUUGCUCUUCAGACGCGUUUCUAAUCCCGAGAAACUUCCAAAGAACUUUCGAUAGAACUAAUGAAAGGAUAAGGUGUUUGUUCUGUAAUCUGUUUUAAGACCACCUCAACUCUCAUACACACCUUGGAUCGGCAAACAUCCCACCUUGAGGAUGUAAGAAGAUAUUUUAGAGGUGUCUUCUCUUUAUCACCACCCGAUGGACAGAUUUGAAUCGAUGGCAGACGGGCCCUCUAAACCCACUCCAACUUCUGUCUUUCUCUCAGCCCACUUGGGAUCUGCAGUGUAAUACACCGCAGACUAAAUCCGGUGAUACUCCUGCAGUAUUUGAAGCAUGGGUGGCUGCAUAAUGAGCAGGUCUGGCCUUGGGGGUAGCAGAGCAGCAGGUUUGUCCUGUGCAUUUCUUUCUUUUUUUCUUCAUCUUUCCCCAUCUUGCUGUUUUUCAUUAUUAUUGGUAUCUGCCUUUGUAUUUCAGGCAGGCAGAGGGCUUGUGCAGAGAGGAGACCAGAGAGGCAGUAAAAGUCAUACAUGUAUUUACAAAUAUAUG
ensembl:lncRNA